AAGCUUAAUGGCUUAAUCUUGCCUUACUGUUUGAUUAACAACAAAUCUUACAGUCGCGUAAGCGGGCAUAGGAUCACAAGAUACAAAAAGGAAAGAUCUUGGAUUUUUGGAAAAGCUACGCUAGGGAUAACAGGCUAAUUUGCGCAAGAGUGUACAAAAUGAGUGCGCGGUUUGGCACCUCGAUGUCGGCUUGACUAAUCCUCAUGGAUGCAGAAACUAUGUAGGGUACGACUGUUCGUCGAUU
rnacentral:rRNA from 1 species